AUAUUUAUAAGAGAAAAAGACCAAAAUAGUACUAAAUAAAGUUUUUGUUCCCAAACUAGCACUCAAGACCAAAAGUCACAAAAAUAACACUUAAGGGGUGGGGUUUAGGGUUUAGAAUUUAGGGUUUAGGGUUUAGAGUUUAGGUUUUUGGGUUUAGAGUUGAGAAGUGAGGUUUUGGGGAUUAGAUUUCAAAUUUUAAAAAAUAAAAAAAUUUAAAUUUUCAAAAGAUAAAAUGCUAUUUUGGUCAUUUUAGUUUUUGAGUGCUAUUUUUGUGAUAUAAACUUAGAAAUGUGCUAUUUUGGAGAUUUGCCCUAUUUAUAAUGUAUUUUAUGAUUUAUAAAUAUAUACCGUAUGGACGGUAGGUGUUUUAGAUGGACUUUCUAGUUCUUCAGCCUGUACAAAAUAUAUACAUGAAUAUAAAAACUGUUUUUUUAAUGAAAUCAUA
rnacentral:lncRNA from 1 species